AUUGAACGCUAGCGGGAUGCUUUACACAUGCAAGUCGAACGAGUGGCGGACGGGUGAGUAAUAUAUCGGAACGUGCCCAGUAGCGGGGGAUAACUACUCGAAAGAGUGGCUAAUACCGCAUACUAUUGGAUCGGCCGAUAUCGGAUUGGCUAGUUGGGGGGGUAAAGGCUCACCAAGGCAACGAUCCGUAGCGGGUUUGAGAGGAGGACCAGCAACACGGGAAAUGGGACACGGCCAAGCCCCCUAGGGAGGGCAGCAGGGGGGAAUUUUGGCCAAGGGGGGAAACCCGGUUCAGGCCAUCCCGGGUGUAUGAGAGGGCUUGGGGGUUGUAAAGUACUUUAGGCAGAGAAGCGGUAUCGGAAGAAUAAGCACCGGCGAACUACGUGCCAGCCGCCGGGUAAUAC
rnacentral:rRNA from 1 species